rnacentral:rRNA from 1 species
GUGCCAGACUCCUACGGGAGGCAGCAGUGGGGAAUAUUGCACAAUGGGGGAAACCCUGAUGCAGCGACGCCGCGUGAGCGAUGAAGUAUUUCGGUAUGUAAAGCUCUAUCAGCAGGGAAGAAAAUGACAGUACCUGACUAAGAAGCACCGGCUAAAUACGUGCCAGCAGCCGCGGUAAUACGUAGGGGGCAAGCGUUAUCCGGAUUUACUGGGUGUAAAGGGGGCGCAGACGGCAGCGCAAGCCAGGAGUGAAAGCCCGGGGCCCAACCCCGGGACUGCUCUUGGAACUGCAUGGCUGGAGUGCGGGAGGGGCAGGCGGAAUUCCUGGUGUAGCGGUGAAAUGCGUAGAUAUCAGGAGGAACACCGGCGGCGAAGGCGGCCUGCUGGACCGCGACUGACGUUGAGGCUCGAAAGCGUGGGGAGCGAACAGGAUUAGAUACCCGAGUAAC